GAUGAACGCUGGCGGCGUGCCUAAUACAUGCAAGUCGAGCGAACGGACGAGAAGCUUGCUUCUCUGAUGUUAGCGGCGGACGGGUGAGUAACACGUGGAUAACCUACCUAUAAGACUGGGAUAACUUCGGGAGACCGGAGCUAAUACCGGAUAAUAUUUUGAACCGCAUGGUUCAAAAGUAAAAGACGGUCUUGCUGUCACUUAUAGAUGGAUCCGCGCUGCAUUAGCUAGUUGGUAAGGUAACGGCUUACCAAGGCAACGAUGCAUAGCCGACCUGAGAGGGUGAUCGGCCACACUGGAACUGAGACACGGUCCAGACUCCUACGGGAGGCAGCAGUAGGGAAUCUUCCGCAAUGGGCGAAAGCCUGACGGAGCAACGCCGCGUGAGUGAUGAAGGUCUUCGGAUCGUAAAACUCUGUUAUUAGGGAAGAAUAUAUGUGUAAGUAACUGUGCACAUCUUGACGGUACCUAAUCAGAAAGCCACGGCUAACUACGUGCCAGCAGCCGCGGUAAUACGUAGGUGGCAAGCGUUAUCCGGAAUUAUUGGGCGUAAAGCGCGCGUAGGCGGUUUUUUAAGUCUGAUGUGAAAGCCCACGGCUCAACCGUGGAGGGUCAUUGGAAACUGGAAAACUUGAGUGCAGAAGAGGAAAGUGGAAUUCCAUGUGUAGCGGUGAAAUGCGCAGAGAUAUGGAGGAACACCAGUGGCGAAGGCGACUUUCUGGUCUGUAACUGACGCUGAUGUGCGAAAGCGUGGGGAUCAAACAGGAUUAGAUACCCUGGUAGUCCACGCCGUAAACGAUGAGUGCUAAGUGUUAGGGGGUUUCCGCCCCUUAGUGCUGCAGCUAACGCAUUAAGCACUCCGCCUGGGGAGUACGACCGCAAGGUUGAAACUCAAAGGAAUUGACGGGGACCCGCACAAGCGGUGGAGCAUGUGGUUUAAUUCGAAGCAACGCGAAGAACCUUACCAAAUCUUGACAUCCUUUGACAACUCUAGAGAUAGAGCCUUCCCCUUCGGGGGACAAAGUGACAGGUGGUGCAUGGUUGUCGUCAGCUCGUGUCGUGAGAUGUUGGGUUAAGUCCCGCAACGAGCGCAACCCUUAAGCUUAGUUGCCAUCAUUAAGUUGGGCACUCUAAGUUGACUGCCGGUGGCAAACCGGAGGAAGGUGGGGAUGACGUCAAAUCAUCAUGCCCCUUAUGAUUUGGGCUACACACGUGCUACAAUGGACAAUACAAAGGGCAGCGAAACCGCGAGGUCAAGCAAAUCCCAUAAAGUUGUUCUCAGUUCGGAUUGUAGUCUGCAACUCGACUACAUGAAGCUGGAAUCGCUAGUAAUCGUAGAUCAGCAUGCUACGGUGAAUACGUUCCCGGGUCU
rnacentral:rRNA from 1 species